AGUGAACGCUGGCGGUAGGCCUAACACAUGCAAGUCGAACGGCAGCACAGGAGAGCUUGCUCUCUGGGUGGCGAGUGGCGGACGGGUGAGGAAUACAUCGGAAUCUACUCUGUCGUGGGGGAUAACGUAGGGAAACUUACGCUAAUACCGCAUACGACCUACGGGUGAAAGCAGGGGAUCUUCGGACCUUGCGCGAUUGAAUGAGCCGAUGUCGGAUUAGCUAGUUGGCGGGGUAAAGGCCCACCAAGGCGACGAUCCGUAGCUGGUCUGAGAGGAUGAUCAGCCACCCUGGAACUGGGACACGGUCCAGACUCCUACGGGAGGCAGCAGUGGGGAAUAUUGGACAAUGGGCGCAAGCCUGAUCCAGCCAUACCGCGUGGGUGAAGAAGGCCUUCGGGUUGUAAAGCCCUUUUGUCGGGAAAGAAAUCCAGCUGGUUAAUACCCGGUUGGGAUGACGGUACCCAAAGAAUAAGCACCGGCUAACUUCGUGCCAGCCGCCGCGGUAA
rnacentral:rRNA from 1 species